GACGAACGCUGGCGGCGUGCCUAAUACAUGCAAGUAGAACGCUGAAGAGAGGAGCUUGCUCUUCUUGGAUGAGUUGCGAACGGGUGAGUAACGCGUAGGUAACCUGCCUUGUAGCGGGGGAUAACUAUUGGAAACGAUAGCCAAUACCGCAUAACAAUGGAUGACACAUGUCAUUUAUUUGAAAGGGGCAAUUGCUCCACUACAAGAUGGACCUGCGUUGUAUUAGCUAGUAGGUGAGGUAAUGGCUCACCUAGGCGACGAUACAUAGCCGACCUGAGAGGGUGGUCGGCCACACUGGGACUGAGACACGGCCCAGACUCCUACGGGAGGCAGCAGUAGGGAAUCUUCGGCAAUGGGGGCAACCCUGACCGAGCAACGCCGCGUGAGUGAAGAAGGUUUUCGGAUCGUAAAGCUCUGUUGUAAGUCAAGAACGGGUGUGAGAGUGGAAAGUUCACACUGUGACGGUAGCUUACCAGAAAGGGACGGCUAACUACGUG
rnacentral:rRNA from 1 species